rnacentral:rRNA from 1 species
CCUACGGGUGGCUGCAGUGGGGAAUAUUGGACAAUGGGCGAAAGCCUGAUCCAGCCAUGCCGCGUGUGUGAAGAAGGCCUUCGGGUUGUAAAGCACUUUCAGUGGGGAAGAAAGCCUUGGGGCUAAUACCCUCGAGGAAGGACAUCACCCACAGAAGAAGCACCGGCUAACUCCGUGCCAGCAGCCGCGGUAAUACGGAGGGUGCGAGCGUUAAUCGGAAUUACUGGGUGUAAAGCGCGCGUAGGCGGUCUGAUAAGCCGGUUGUGAAAGCCCCGGGCUCAACCUGGGAACGGCAUCCGGAACUGUCAGGCUAGAGUGCAGGAGAGGAAGGUAGAAUUCCCGGUGUAGCGGUGAAAUGCGUAGAGAUCGGGAGGAAUACCAGUGGCGAAGGCGGCCUUCUGGACUGACACUGACGCUGAGGUGCGAAAGCGUGGGUAGCAAACAGGAUUAGAUACUCCGGUAGUC